AUGUCAUCUUCAAACGUUUUCGAUGAAAAAUUUGAGGCUGCUGUCACAAAGCUGGAUGCUAUUGGAAUCGCGAGAAAAACUGUUUCACCAGUGUUGACGAAGCUACUAGAGUUGUAUGAUUACAACUGGGAGUACAUAGAAGCUGAUGACUUUCGGGUUCUAACCGAUGCUAUAUUUGACGAGCCAGAUCCCAAAGAAGAACAGAAAAAACAAGCUAACAAAAGGAAGAAUCCUGAUUCGGACCACUAUAACAAGAAGCUUAGGGCAAAACAUCAUUCUCAAAAACCUACAUCCAAGAUGCAUGCCAAUGAGAAGAGAGAGUUGGCUGAAGCUCCACCGCAGCAAGAAGCAGGCAAGCUGUGCCCUCAAACAGUUUGUGGCACUGUAAACACAUUGCAGUUGUCUUCUUCGCGACUGCCGAUUAAAGAAAGAAAUAUGGAAACCAGUGUUCUGGAGGAUACACCGACAGAUGAAGAUAGUUUAGCUUUAUCAGUCCAAGGUCAAGACCUUCCUACUUUCGAGACCCCACUGGCUAUUAUGAGCCCACCAGUUCAAGAUUCCAGGCAUCAAAGAGCAUACAAGGAUGCACAUGAAAGAAACAUAUCUUAUACAUCUAGAAGCCAAGUAAUCACAAGCAGCACAGACUCUUCAACCAACUUUGAGGUAGCUUUGUCAAAUUCUGGAACAGGGAAACUGUCAUUUACAUGUAACUCGGCAGAUCAUCCUGAUUUCCACAUGCCGGACAUGGAGUCUGUAUGCAAGGAAAUGGAGGCUAGAUGUCUCAGGACAUACAAGAUCCUAGAACCCAAUUUCUCUUUCAUAAAACUUUUGCAAGACACUUGCCAGUGUAUCGUUGAUUUGGGUCAUGCAUCUAGUGGACCUAGAGAAAGUGGAAUGGUACAAAUAGUUCCUGCCAUGGACUUUUUGUCUAAACCUUCAGUGUCACGAGUGUUGCAGCCAAAUGAAGCUGGUUCCUCGUGUAUGCCACCUAAUGACCACAUUAUUCAUGGUGGUGUAUGCUCUUCUGGUUCUUUUGCUGGAGAACAGAUCAGUUCCAGUAAUAUGCUUGUUAUUGCCAAUAGACCAGCUCAUGAUGUCAAUGACAUAACAAAAGGUGAAGAACAUGUGAGUAUUCCCAUAAUUAAUACGGUUGGCAAUGGGAUUCUUCCGCCCCCCUUCCACUACAUACCAUGCAAUAUCAUAUACCAGAAUGCAUAUGUCAAUCUUUCGCUUGCUAGAAUAGGAGAUGAAAGCUGCUGCUCAGGCUGCUUUGGAGAUUGUCUAGCAGAACAACUUCCUUGUGCAUGUGCAACAGUAACUGGAGGUGAAUUUGCUUAUACAAGGGAUGGCCUGCUUAAGGAAGGAUUUCUUGAUUCUUGUGUCGCUGGGCUUCCUAAAUUCCACUGCAAAAUUUGCAAUCCUUGUGAAGGACACCCUACAAAGAAAUUUAUCAAGGAAUGCUGGAGUAAAUGUGGCUGUGCCAGAAAUUGUGGAAAUCGUGUGGUGCAGCGAGGAAUUACUCGGCAACUACAGGUAUUCUUAACCCCUGGAAAAAAGGGAUGGGGACUGCAGGCUGCUGAGGAAAUUCCACGAGGCGCGUUUAUUUGUGAGUAUGUUGGUGAAAUAUUAACUAACACUGAGCUUGAUGAGCGAAACACUCAAGGGACAUCAAAAGGUCGCCAUACAUAUCCAACACUGCUCAAUGCUGAUUGGGACACUGAAGAUGUUCUUGGGGACGACCAUGCUCUCUGUCUGGAUGCCACCUUUUACGGGAAUGUGGCAAGGUUUAUAAACCAUAGGUGUUCUGAUGCCAAUCUCAUUGAUAUACCUGUUCAGAUCGAGACACCUGACCGCCACUACUACCAUGUGGCAUUUUUCACCAAAAGGAAAAUAGAGCCAUUUGAAGAACUGACAUGGGACUACAAUAUUGAUUUUAACGAUGUCAACCACCCUAUCAAGGCAUUCAAGUGUUGCUGCGGAAGCAAGCACUGCCGGGACAAAAAAAGCAACCCAAGAUCUAGAUCCAGAGCCCUGGUGUUGCUAUGA
rnacentral:rRNA from 1 species